CGCGCCUCCUCUCCCCUCCCCUCUCCUCCCGCGCGCCUCCUCUCCCCUCCCCUCCCCUCCCGCGUGCCUCCUCCCUCCCACCCACAUCGCCGCCGCCGCCACCCACUGCCUCGAACGGCGCCGUCGGCGGCCAGAUCCGCCGCAGCAGAGCGCCCCCCCCCCCCACGACGACCAGCAGCAGAGGAGGGAGGACGAGGAGCAUGACGGCGGCGGCGGCAGGGAGCAGCAGUAGCAGGCGGAGGCGCUGUGCUUGCAAGCCUCCCAAAUCCCAAAUCCCCACCCGACAGGUUUACGCGUGCUCAUUUCCUUGGCUGAUGCGGAAGGGGAGGCUUGCAAUGCUGAUGCGUAAGGGGAGGCUUGCAAGCAACCCCAGUCUGAAUGAAUUCAGUCAGGGUCACACAGGGGUUGCUUGAGAGAGCCCUUGAAGUGUAUGGAAAUGAUUUGGAUGAUGCAAUAAAGAGUUUGAAGGACCUGCACCUGAUGGAGUCAAAUCAGGGUAACCUAUCGUCCACUGGUUCCACUUUUGAAAAUGGGCCGACAGCAGUUCAGCCAUCUGUUGAAGGUUCAUUUUCCACCAAAAGCUAUUCAAUUCCUACGGUGUUGUUACCAGCGGAGGUGUGGACACAGCUACUGAACACCAACCUGCCACAGCUAGCCACCAGCCACGUAAUAGUGGCCCUAAAUGGGUCGAUCUUUUUGUGAGAGAGAUGUCAAAUGCUUCUGACAUGGGACAGCGCUCAAGCUUGUGCUUCAAGAGCUGUGGAAGCCUUGACGAAGUCUAUUCUGGAGGGUGCAGGAGCUGAAGCGCACAGAGCUUGCUUCAGGAAAACAUGGUGCUCAAGGAGCAGGUGACGGCCGUCCUGUCGUAGAACGGGGUCCUGAAUUUGUUUAUAUAUUUGUUAGAUGUACGAGCAGCAGAAGAAAAUCUCCCCUCCGCUCAUUGUUGGUGGUUGAGACUCGGGUCGUCGAUGCAAAUCAAUCAAGUGCCCCCAUCUUUAGUUAUUCUGUUUGGUGAAUGGGGAGUUGAUGAACCCGGGGUAGCGACAGAUAUACCUUAUCUUCCCGGCGGACAGCACCUUCCACGAGGAUGACGUCUCCAACUACUCCAGCAUCUACGGUCCUGUCCAUGAUGUGCGCAUCCCCUACCAGCAGAACCACAUGUUUGGGUUCGUCACCUUCGUCUACAAGGAGAAGGGCAAGGUCCCCGGCAAGUUCAGGCAAGC